rnacentral:lncRNA from 1 species
UCUCCAACCUUUGUCAUCAUCAGUGAGUUCUUGGCCUUUUGUCAUCCUUGAAGAUUGUCCAACCUUGAUCAUGGUCAGACCUUCCAGCUUCCGUCAUCUUCGUUCCUGAGGAGUUCCCUAUUUUCAACAGCACUGAAGAGUUCCUAACCUUCAUCAUCAUCUUUGAAGAGUCCCCAGCCUUCAGUGUUGUCCUCACAGUCCCCAGCCUUUAUCAUGGUCAUUCUCAAUCCCCAGUCUUCAUCAUCAUUGAAGAGACUCCAAUCCUGAUCAUUGUCAGAGCUUCCAACUUCCAUGAUCAUGGAAGGAUCCCCGAGGUUCAUCAUUGUCAAGGAGUCUCCAGCCUUCAUCAUCCUCGAGUUCCCAGAGUUCAUCAUCAUCCUCCUCGCAGAGCCUCCAAGAGCUCCUGGCCUUCAUCAUAGUUUUUGCAGAGUCUUCAGUCUUCAUCAGGGCUGGUCAGUUGGCCUGACCUUUGUGUCAUCCUCAUAAUGGAAGAGCUUCAGAGAGUGCUUGGCCUUCAUCAUGGUCCUUGAAAAACCCUCGACCAUCAUCAUCUUCAUCAUGGAACAGCCUCCAAGAGUUUUUGACCUUAACUCAAAUCAUGGAAGAGUUGCUGACCAUCAUCAUCAUCGUCACCUCUGCCCCUCCCCCGCUUCCACCGCAGCCUCCUGUCCCCUCUCCUUCCCCACUCUGGUUCCAUUUUCCUCAUUUUUUUGGUAAUUUUUCCCAAAUUCUCCAUUUCAGUCUAUUUUCACCCAUUUUUCCUCAUUUUUGGUCAGUUUCCCCCAUUUUUAGUCUUUUUCCAUUUUUCCAGGUUUUGCUCUUUUAUUUCCCAAGUUUUGGUCGCUCUCAGCCCAAUUCUAUUCCUUUUUCCCAACUUUUGGGUCCUUUCUCCCAGUUUUUACUUGAUUUUUCCCUAUUUUUACUCAUUUUAUUACCCAUUUUUCCUUCUUUUGGGUUCGUAUUUCUCAAUUUUAAUGAUUUUUUUUUUCCCGUUUCUUUCGUUUUUCAUAUUGAAAAGUCGCCCCCGGGUCCGGAAUAAACUCGGGAUGGAAAAGCCACCGCGAGUGUCACCUGUGUCACCUCUGGGGUCACCUGAGGGUCCCCAAUGUCACCUGCACCUUCCGGGGUUCACUUUAAGGUCACCUGAGGGUUCCCUGUGUCCCCUCCUGAGGGUCCCCAGUGUCACUUGGGGUCACCUGAGGCAUUCCAGUGUCACCUUGAGGGUCCUAGUGUCACUUCAGGGUCACCUGGGGGUCCCCACAUCUAUCUUGGGAGUCCCUGUGUCACCUGGAGGGCCUGUCACCUGGGGUGUCCCCAUGUCCCCAGCUGAAGGUCUCCAGUCAUCAUCUCUGUCACCUGGAGGUCCCGAUGUCACCUGGAAGGGGUCUCGGUCACCUUGGAGGUCCCCAUGCCCCCCC